ACACCUGAAAAUUAUCGUAUUUCAUUUAUUGACCGAUAAAUUACUUGGUAUGUACAUAAGUAAAUAAAAAUUAAUCAUUCACUUAAACCUUGGACAUUAGCUUGUAUAAUCAUUGAUGAGUCCUCUUUUCUUCCCCAAAUUAAUGAGUGAUCGAGCUCCCACCUCAAUCGAUGUUACUUGCGAACUAAUCACUGAUUAAUUAAGAAAUAAUCAUGAUCGAGCACUGAUUUAUUCUAUAUAAACAGACAUGAACAUAGUUCUAUAGAUCGAUAUUGAAGAUGAUGAAGAAGAUGGAGUACUCACCGGCCGGUUUCUCCAUUCUUCUUCUUCUUCUGUCGACGUGUUUUCUUCUUCUCAACGUCGGCGCAGCGACUAAUUAUUCCUCCCCUUGUUCUUCUGAUUUCCCUCUAGGU
rnacentral:lncRNA from 1 species